GUCUUUUUGAGUUAUUUUUAAAGUCUGACCUGCCCACUGAAUUUUAAAUGGCCGCAGUAUUCUAACUGUGCAAAGGUAGCAUAAUCAUUAGUCUUUUAAUUGAAGGCUGGUAUGAACGGUUGGACGAGGUAUAAGCUGUUUCAUAUAAAUUUAUAUUAGAAUUUUAUAUUUUAGUUAAAAAGCUAAAAUUUAGUUAAAAGACGAGAAGACCCUAUAAAUCUUUAUAUUUUGUUUAAUUUAAAUUUUUUUGAUUUGUUUUAUUUUUAUUAUAUUAAAUAUUUUGUUGGGGUGAUGUUAAAAUUUAAUGAACUUUUAAUUGUUUUAAAUCAUUAAUUUAUGAAUUAUUGAUCCAUUAAUAGUGAUUAUAAGAUUAAGUUACUUUAGGGAUAACAGCGUAAUUUUUUUGGAGAGUUCUUAUCGAUAAAAAAGUUUGCGACCUCGAUGUUGGAUUAAGAUAUAGUUUUAGGUGUAGUCGCUUAAAUUUUAAGUCUGUUCGACUUUUAAAUUCUU
rnacentral:rRNA from 1 species